GUUUCUCUGUCUUAUUUUUGUUCUUAUUUUAACCAGUAGCGGUAGAGAGGUUCAAAUUAUUUCUGUUUCAUCUUAGACUCAAUUCUUUUCUGCAGAAUAUAUAGAAAAACUAGGACGUUUUACCAUCUACGACAUGUAUGAUGCUAUAGAAGCUGUUUCCUUUGGAAAAACCUCACAGAAACAUCUCUUCUAAGGCAGACAACGUUUUUAUGAGUCCAUCAAUCAUGGUGUGUUUUCGCUUAGGAAGAGCUCUUUUGAAGAGACCGGAUGCCCAAUAGUUCUUAAGCAAAACAUCAGAGGACUUCACAGAAAUACGUGAAAAAGUUUGGACCACAGAAUCUAAAACCUAAAGUAAAAAAAUCUGGAACUUCCAAAAUAAAAUUCUCCGUUCCGUCACCAACUCGAUUUGAUUCGUGAGCAAUUUACGCAUUCAUAUCGUUCGAUCUUGACCAUUUGCAUGCUCAAGACACAUUCUAACAAGUUCUCAAUUUUAAAAGGUUUUUCUCCAAAGUGAUGAACUCAAAUUUCUCUUAUAUUGCCAAACAGGCAAAUUAUGGUCCCACAGUUGAACAACCAUUCAAAAGACCUC
rnacentral:lncRNA from 1 species